rnacentral:SRP_RNA from 1 species
UAUUAGAGCCAUUAGAACAAUAACCCACUAACCUGGUCAGGUCGUAAUUGAAGCAGCCACAUGAGGAAGUGUUGUGUCUAGUGGUUUUAUAAACUUU